UACGUAGGGCGCAAGCGUUAUCCGGAAUUAUUGGGCGUAAAGAGCUCGUAGGCGGUUUGUCGCGUCUGCCGUGAAAGUCCGGGGCUCAACUCCGGAUCUGCGGUGGGUACGGGCAGACUAGAGUGAUGUAGGGGAGACUGGAAUUCCUGGUGUAGCGGUGAAAUGCGCAGAUAUCAGGAGGAACACCGGUGGCGAAGGCGGGUCUCUGGGACGUUACUGACGCUGAGACGCGAAAGCGUGGGGAGCAAACAGG
rnacentral:rRNA from 1 species